GUUUUCUGGUCUUAAUGGUCCUUCCAUUAUUCAGCACCUCAGUCUGGACUGUGAAAUCAGCUGGCUGAGCACAGGAAUGCAGGUGGACCUCUACAAAAAAUACCUCUUUUCCUUCCUUCCUCCUUCACAAGCACCAACAAGAAGAGACAGCCAGCUCUUGUUAAGAAGCAUGGAAAAGCAGGAUUCUUUCAUGAAAGAAGACUUCAAAGAGGAAAAUGUUGCUUUGAAAGGAGUGCAUUUCCACUGAUGCCAGCCACAAGGAGCAGCCUUAAACCCCACACUUCUCAGUGCCUGAAGGUUUUAUCUUUUGACGCAUGGAAAUAAAAUGGCAUUUUUU
rnacentral:lncRNA from 1 species